UCCACGCCGUAAACGAUGUCAACUAGCCGUUGGGACUCUUGAAGUCUUAGUGGCGCAGCUAACGCACUAAGUUGACCGCCUGGGGAGUACGGCCGCAAGGUUAAAACUCAAAUGAAUUGACGGGGGCCCGCACAAGCGGUGGAGCAUGUGGUUUAAUUCGACGCAACGCGAAGAACCUUACCUGGCCUUGACAUCCAGAGAACUUUCCAGAGAUGGAUUGGUGCCUUCGGGAACUCUGAGACAGGUGCUGCAUGGCCGUCGUCAGCUCGUGUCGUGAGAUGUUGGGUUAAGUCCCGUAACGAGCGCAACCCCUAUCCCUGGUUGCUAGCAGGUAAUGCUGAGAACUCCAGGGAGACUGCCGGUGACAAACCGGAGGAAGGUGGGGAUGACGUCAGGUCAUCAUGGCCCUUACGGCCAGGGCUACACACGUGCUACAAUGGCGCGUACAGAGGGCUGCCAACUCGCGAGAGUGAGCCAAUCCCUUAAAACGCGUCGUAGUCCGGAUCGGAGUCUGCAACUCGACUCCGUGAAGUCGGAAUCGCUAGUAAUCGCGAAUCAGAAGAGCGAUGGCC
rnacentral:rRNA from 1 species